GAUGAACGCUAGCUACAGGCUUAACACAUGCAAGUCGAGGGGAAACGGCAUUGAGUGCUUGCACUCUUUGGACGUCGACCGGCGCACGGGUGAGUAACGCGUAUCCAACCUUCCCAUUACUGUGGGAUAACCUGCCGAAAGGCAGACUAAUACCGCAUAGUCUUCGAUGACGGCAUCAGAUUUGAAGUAAAGAUUUAUCGGUAAUGGAUGGGGAUGCGUCUGAUUAGCUUGUUGGCGGGGUAACGGCCCACCAAGGCUACGAUCAGUAGGGGUUCUGAGAGGAAGGUCCCCCACAUUGGAACUGAGACACGGUCCAAACUCCUACGGGAGGCAGCAGUGAGGAAUAUUGGGCAAUGGACGGAAGUCUGAACCAGCCAAGUAGCGUGCAGGAUGACGGCCCUAUGGGUUGUAAACUGCUUUUGUAUGGGGAUAAAGUUAGGGACGUGUCCCUAUUUGCAGGUACCAUACGAAUAAGGACCGGCUAAUUCCGUG
rnacentral:rRNA from 1 species